rnacentral:rRNA from 1 species
GUCUGCAACUCGACUACAUGAAGUUGGAAUCGCUAGUAAUCGUAGAUCAGCUAUGCUACGGUGAAUACGUUCCCGGGUCUUGUACUCACCGCCCGUCACACCAUGGGAGUUGAACUCAUUCGAAGCGGGGAUGCUAAAGUAGCUACCUUCCACAGUGGAUUCAGCGACUGGGGUGAAGUCGUAACAAGGUAACCGUAGGAGAACCUGCGGUUGGAUCACCUCCUUU